CACCUGCGGGCGGCCGGAGGAGGAGCGAGGCCGGAUCCGGGGCACGGAGCGUCCAGCCCCCUGGAGGAGGUGAUGCUCGAGGCGGUCGCCCUCACCUCAGGCACUCAGGGUGGGGGAGGCCGGCAGCGGGCCACGCGGAGGCGUGCGGGGAGAGAGUCUGCCCGAGGCGACUUAGAGCCAGUCUGGCCGAGGGGUAGGUAGAGGUACUGGAAAGUCUCAGAUUCGCCCUGGACUUUCGCUUUCUCUUCUUGUUGCAGGACUUGGCAAGAGGCCUGAGGUUGCUGCUGCCCCGCAGGGUCACUCACCAUCCCAUCUCCACAGUCACAUAGCCUAGAGUUUAACUGAAUUAGUCCUGAGGGGAGUAGGAGAAUAAAACCGGAUGCAAAAGCAAGAUGCUUCCAUGAUUCCAGGAAAAUGCUGCCAGACUCCCCUUCCUUGCUGCCACUGUAGAGGAGAGGCUGGGUACAGCCAAAGCAGCAUCCCCCUAUGGCUACCGCUGCACUGCAUGUCCCUUCCGCCACAUUUCCAAACAAAAAGCAGCUCGCUGUGAACUCAUAUCUGCCUCUCAGUAAUCACCCCACACAAUUAAAAUUAAUGUGAACUUCUGCUAA